AGCCACUUAGUCCCUCAAGAUGCAAGGUUUGCUAAGUGUUUUGAGGUUGCAAACUGACUUCUGGGUUUUGAGAACUAUUUGACUUUCUGGCUUCACAACUGGUAAGACCUGGGGACGUAAGGAACUAACCGCGUCCUUAACUAAGAGGGCAAAGCUUAGCUGCAGUUAGCACACAAUUAAAGCAACUUACCAAGUUUUACCUUAAAGUUAAAAAUAGCUAGGAGUUAAUUGAAACUACUAGAAAUAGAUUUGCAUGCAAGGUGUGUAAGAACAGUAAAAUGUAUUUUUUAGUAAAAGGUUAUAAGAAGGCAUGGAAAUGUAAACUUUUGCCUAAAGUUUUUAAGGAUUAAAGGAUUAAAGGAUUUUUUGAGUUAAAUCAGGAAAAAGCUGAAGGUUCAAAGAAGGGGUAGAAGAAUUACGGAAAUCAAUCUUGCAGAAGAGGUUCUGUGUGUGAACGUAUUGACUAAAUUCAAAAAAGGGUAUUAUAUGGUUUUUUCUGUAAAUUGAGCAUUGAAAUAAAAGCAUAACAAGGUUUCCUAAGGCGUUAAUCUGCUCUUUGGCAAAAUUUUUAAAGGAUUAUAAAAGAUUUUUGAUUAUUUAAAAUUUCGAAGUCAUCUUUUUGGCAAAAUAAAUAACUUAUGGUAAUCUGGAAUUCUAUUUCAUAAUAUCAAGUGUUUUAAACAUAUUUAAAAGGCUGCCCAAAAUCGACCUUAAGUUUUAAAAUUGUCUUUCCUGACACCUGGCUUUUUGAAUACUUCAGAGGGCCCAUGAAGUGUCCAGAAAAGAGGUAAAAGGAAUUAUUUAACAUGUUUAGGUACAUGGGAUUGCCAAAAUGAUGCUCAAUCUUCUUUAGGUUAUAUUUUGGUGAAUAAUGCUAAUAUAUGUUCCAAAAUUGUAUGGGAUUAUCUAAAAUUCUAAUGUGCAAGUAUAUGCUAUCCAUCGUAAUUAGGGUUGUUAUGUUAGGUUAUUGUAAACCGUGGAAAUAACCAAACUUCUUUGUCAAUCGUUGUUUCUAACAGUAACUAUCCUGGACAUUUUGCUAUUCACAGACAAUUGUUGUCUUGUUUUAAUCCUUUUCAAAAAUGGUUUAUAAUGAGCUAUAGAACUUUAACAGGUGCUCUCAAAUGCAGGCUUCUGAUAACUUUAGAGGUUGUAUCACUGGAAUAAAGGAAAAUGUAUAGGACUCAUAAAGAGCUGAAAUGUUCAUGAAUAGCAAGCAAAACAAGAAUUAACUAACUGGACUGAACUCAGGAAGCUGAAGCAAAUCUUUUUGACCUUUGCUUGGAAUAUUUCUGAUCCUUGUUUUAUUUUUUCAGAGUCAAGGAAACUUAUUUUGAACUAUUUACAGCCUUUAAUAAGUAAGUUAUACACUCCUGUGAUAAAAAUUUGGAGCACGUUUGUUUCUCUCUGCCUGAAUCCUCUAGAAUUUGGAAACUAUUUGUGAAUAUUCUUAUGGCAAUAUCAUUGUUUGCAUCAGUGCAAUAAGAAUCCAUUUUUCUUUUGCAACAGAACACAAUUGGAGAAAGUCGUUAUUUUACCAAGGAUUUGACUGGAAGGGUAUGCUUCCCUUUAAGGAGUCAAUUUUGACUUGCAGAGCCAAUAAAAGCCCAGUGAGGAAACUGGUCUCAUACCCUUGUCUAUGCAGUCCGUGUACAGGGUUCUUGACCUGUGGUCAGUAAAGAAUGUCACUUUCUAACAGGUCCAGGAGCUCCAAGUUUAUUAUGGGACCUUAAGAGGAAAGGAUCACCCAACUCACAGGGUUUUGAGGAUACAAACCCAUGGUUGGGCUCAGUUUUAAAAGGUCUUAUCUGAGAUUCCUUGUGGAACAAACUUCCAUCAAAGCCAAUCUAAAAGGCCUAAUUAGAAAGAAUUAUUCUUGCUGCACUUUAUGCAAAUAAUCAGGCCAAGUAUAAGACUAAAAUUUAUUUUGUAAACCAUUCAGUCCUAUGAUGAUUUUUUUUUAACAAAAAUGAGGACUGGAGAGAGAAAUCAUGUUUCAAAACUUAUACAUUUGUCAUUAAAUUCUUUUUUUAUUAUACUUUAAGUUCUGGGGUACAUGUGCAGAACAUGCAGGUUUGUUACAUAGGUAUACAUGUGCCAUGGUGAUUUUCUGCACCCAUCAACCUGUCACCUACAUUAGGUAUUUCUCCUAAUGCUAUCCCUCCCCUAGCCCGCACCCCCUGACAGUCCCUGGUGUGUGAUAUUCCCCUCCCUGUGUCCAUGUGUUCUCAUUGUUCAGUUCCCACCUAUGAGUGAGAACAUGCGGUGUUUGGUUUUCUUCCCUUGUGUUAGUUUGCUGAGAAUGAUGGUUUCCAGCUUCAUCCAUGUCCCUGCAAAGGACAUGAACUUAUCCUUUUUUAUGGCUGCAUAGUAUUCCAUGGUGUAUAUGUGCCACAUUUUCUUUAUCCAGUCUAUCGUUGAUGGACAUUUAGGUUGGUUCCAAGUCUUUGCUAUUGUGAAUAGUGCCGCAAUAAACAUACAUGUGCAUGUAUCUUUAUAGUAAAAUGAUUCAUAAUCCUUGGGGUAUUUACCUAGUAAUGGGAUUGCUGGGUCAACAUUUGUCAUUAAAUUCUAAACUCAUUCGUUGUUUUUAAGUUUUUGCCUACAUUUUAGACUAACCCUGCUUGCUCCUAUGAACCAACCAGCAAUCCCUGGCUGCAGCUCAGAAAGAACAAAGGGGAUAGGUAAUGUAGAAAUUCAGAUCAAUAUUCUAGUUCUGAGCAAUUAUCCUACAAAUCCUGCCAGGUAAUGGAAUAAAUAGGAUGCCCAUCACUCGGAGGUUUCCUUUUGGGAAAGUAAGACCAAGGGAGCUAACAAAAGCCAAGCACCAUGCACCCAAAUUCUGUCAAGCAUAAAUAUAGCUACCAGUUAUCUGGGUGUGUCACAAGACAUCCUUUUCUCUCUUGUUGGAGGAGGACUCAGUUCCACAGCUUCACUUUUGCAUUCGGCUUAUGAUAAGAAGUCCAUGCAACCCCCGCUGAGACACAUUUUUGUCCCAAACUCAAUUCCAAGCAUCGGGUCAAAGCCCUAGGAAAGAAAACUGGAUCUGAGGGAUCCAGAGGCAGACAAUAACAGAAAUUAAAAGGCACAACACAGGUAAGCGUGGCUGAUUCCUGCCGAUUAAGCCAACCCCAGGCUUCCUGUUUCAUGGAUAAAGACCACAUUAAUAUCCGUGGCAUAAAUGAGGUCUAGGGAAUCCAAGGCUGCUGGCAGCAGGGGAGAUAGGGCAUAUGUGGAUAAGAGCGGAUGAUUCUCACCCACUAGGCCCCCUGCUUCAUGGGUGCAAGCCGCUCUUCCACCCAAGGUGGCACCUGCCAAGGUUGCUGGGACUUGGGGAUGCAAAGAUGGAAGAGGAAAGAGGAUGCUUUUCCCUCUCUCCCUCAUGUACCUCUGAAGAAGGAAUUUAUGAAUUUUACAAGUAUAAUCAAAGACAACCAAAAAUGUUUACUUUUUCCUUCCAAAGCUAACUGUAGUGUAGCCCCACCCCGUAGUGUAAGUUAGAGAAAAAUACUAACUGCCUGUUUUUCCUUUUGUGCUCAGCGAGCCUUAUCUGUACUUGCUAGUUUCACAUUCCUUGAGGCUCAGCGAGUUCCUGCUUCACCUCCCUAGCACAGCUGCAAAGUUACAAGGUUGACACAGAAAUGGUUUAUACAGUUAAUGGUUUCCCAAAGAUGUGAAACAUGUAAUAUAAAUAAAUGUAAAAGACUGAUCAACUGCCUUUGCUCUCACUUCUGUAAGUACACUUCCUGCAUCACAUAGUUCCCGGCCACUGGCUGCUUAAAAAGUGGCUGUUUUCUUUGUCCGGGGCUCAGACUUUCCUGGACGCUAGUCCUACUGAGCCAGGUGAUCACCUUUUAAUAAAGACCUUUCCUGGACUCACUCUGUUCGGUCUCUCCCAUCUUUGAUUGUCCCACAAUACCUUGGGUAUCUUCUAGGAAGAGAAGGGAACCAGGGAUGCCUGCCCCCCUCUUUCUAGAUGGGUAGCCAUUCGCCUUCAGUCUGUACCCCUUUUGAAUGCAUCCUGAACCUCUAGGACUCCUUUUAAAAAAAAAAAACACCUUCUUUUUUUCCUUUCUCCUCCUCUGUCCUCUUCACUGAUAGGUAAUUGUGUCUUCAUACUAUGGGACACUCCCCUCAGAAACAUCCUCCAAACUGGAAAGAAUUAAUUUCCCAAACCUUAACCUGGCUGGCUUAGGAAUGGGCUCAGGGGAAGGGAACCCAGAAGACUGACAUGCUGGCAAAAGCGUAAAGUUUUUUCUUAACCAGUUGGGCUUUUGGCCUUGUGCAAACUGGUAAAAGGCCUUGGAAUUUUUGAGCUGUUCUUACCCCUCUCCUUGUUUUGUUUUGAUACAUGUUUUCUAAUAAGCUGGUUUGUCUAUUCUUGCCUUCAGGCCAUCAAACUACAGUCAGUCAUGCAACAGGAGCCUCUGAUGACGACCCUUUCUGCUGGGAACCCUUAAAUAGGCCUCUGAGGGAGCUCUGACUGCGGCUUCCCCCAAAACAGCGCCCCCUGUCAGCAGGAGGCAGUUAAGAUCGCUCUUCUUCCUUAUCCUUAUUCUAAUGGCAGUUAGAUGUACCUCUCUAGAGCGGGGAAUGAGACAGCCAGGUGGGAGGGGGUCCCCAGAGAAACUCCAGCUGGCCUGCACACUGGGAUGGAGCCACAAUAGUUCACAUCCUUUGCAGCAGGGAGGAGCCAGCUCCUCCUCUUCUGUGUGGAACCUGGAAUUCAAGCCGCUGGCGGCAAGCACUCUAGCAGGGACUCUGACUUGUUGAGGAUCCCUGUUUCCCCCUUUUUCUCCCCACUUUUCACCGAAUAAAACUUUGUCUUACCCACCCUUCAAACCGUCUUUGAGCCUAAAUUUUCAUGGCCCGGGGACGGACAAGGACCCUGUCUUUAGCUGAACAGACCUGCAAAAUAUUGAUGUCUUUGCCUGUAACUCUUGCCUCCCCGAAAGGUAUAAUACUCAACUGCAACCCAGCUCCCUCAAUAUUUUAAAUCUUUAUUGUAAAAACAUCUUAUUUUAAGAAAUGGGAUGUGCAAGGGAAAUGGUAAUUAUGUUCCCAAAGCAUCAAUAAUUUCAAAAAGAGAAUGCAGGGGAAGAUUGCUUUCCAUAGUUUUAGCAUAGAAAGUUUAAUACUCUAUCACAAACAAGGCACCUUCUCCCUGUAGCCCUCUGCAGCUUUCAGAGCACACUGUGAUACAAUUUCAAAAGGAAGCCACUUUUAUAAAUUCAUACCCACCCUGGUGUGCAACUGAAAAAAGUGAAAAAGUAAAACCCACUUUCUCAGGACCUCUUGAGACUGUGUUCCCCCGCCAUGGUCACUCAUAUUGGCUCAGAAUAAACCUCUUUAAAAUAUUUUACAGAGCUGGUUUUUCUGUUAACAAUGCCUAUUUUAUCAGUUAUUUUAUUCAUUUACCCCUGAAAUCUUAAAACAGACUUAAGGAAAUUCACAAAUACCAAUAGAUAAGAUAAAGCUACGUUAACAAUAAGUAAGGAAGGAAAUAUGGGCAAAAGAAAAAUAAAGCAGAGAGCUGGGAUGCCAGAUGGCUUGAAAGUCAAACAUAUGUAAAUAAAAAGCAUUAAUAAUCAUCUUAAUUAUAUUCUAUGUUAUAUUUUAUUUCAGAUAAUGGAGCUAUUUUUUUCUUUCGUUGUCCAAGUGGAAGAUGUUAAAAAAGAAACCCUCAAUGGUAAUGCAGUUUAUACCAACUUCACACAAUCUGUUACACUCAUUGAUCCGUGGAAUAAUCAUGACACUCAAAUGAAUUUGUAUGCUGGUAUUUACUAUGGGAAUGUAAAAAGAAUAUUACACUAGGUUUUGACAGAUUUGGGCUAACAGGUAAAUCUUUAUUGUAAAAGAUUUUAUUUUAAGAAAUGGGAUGUACAAGGGAAAUGGUAAUUAUGUUCCCAAAGCAUCAAUAAUUUCAAAAAGAGAAUGUAGAAGAAGAUUGUUUUCCAUAGUUUUAACACAGAAAAUUUAAUACUCUAUCAAAAAGAAGGCACCUUCUCCCUGUAGCCUCUGAAGCUUUCAGAGCACACUGUAAUACAAUUUCAAAAGGAAGCCACUUCUAUAAAUUCAUACCCACCCUGGUGUGCAACUGACAGCUUCAGAGGUAACAUUAUUGACUGCUUACACAAGAAAAUCUUCAUGCAAUGCAAAUUUAAAUUUCCAAG
rnacentral:lncRNA from 10 species